rnacentral:rRNA from 1 species
AUGGAGCUGAGCCCAGUCAGUUCGUCGCUGGGCACCAUGGGCUCGCUCCCACGGAAGCUCGACGAGCUCCUGGCGACCGGCCACUGGGCUCUGCGAGGGGCCGUGGUCAUGGAUGGGAUCAAGCACCUGGCCGCCGACCUCCACGAGCUGCAGAGCCUCCUGCUGAACCUCUCGAACGCGCAGGACCCUCCCGUGGCGGCGGGGUGCUGGACGAAGGAGGUGCGCGAGCUGUCCUACGACGUGGAGUACUGCGCUGACCGAUUCGUCCACGCCGCCGAGACACGCAGGCGACCUGCUCGGCGUAAAGCCAGCGUCGCUCGGCUGAAGAUUAGCCGCCUUCCGAGGAGGCGGAGGUGGCUCCCGUGGAUCAACGGCAGGGUCCUGGAGUUCAGGGCCCGAGCGCAGGAGGCCAGCGAGAGGUACUGGAGGUACCAGUUCGAUGAUUGCGCCUCCGGUCCUGAAUACUCUCCUGCUGCUGGCCGUGCUGUGCGCGCGGAGCCUGGUGAUCAUGUAGGCAUGGAAGGCCCUGUAGGUGAGCUCCACCGGCGGCUGACUGAUGGAGAGGAGCAGCUCAAGGUGGUAGCAAUCGUCGGUGUUGCAGGCAUUGGUAAAACCACGCUUGCCCUGAAAUUGUUGGGUAAGCUCCAGGGACAGUUCGAGUGCGCCGCCUUUGUGCGGACAGCACAAAAGCCCAAUAUGAGGGGGAUCAUCAGCAGUAUACUCUCACAAGUUCGUCCGCACCAACUGCCGGACCCUGCCGACAUGCACCACCUCAUCCGCGAUCUCAGUGAACAUCUACAAGAUAAGAGGUACUUCAUUGUAAUUGAUGACUUGUGGGCUACAUCAGUGUGGGAUGUUCUUAGUCGUGCUUUUCCAGAGGGUAGUUCAUGCAGUAGAAUAGUAACUACAACUGAAAUUAUAGAAGUAGCUCGGGCAUGCUGUGGUUAUCUCCCUGACCAUAUUUUUCAGAUGGAAUUUCUUAGUGAGGAUGACUCACAAAAACUAUUGCUCCAAACAAUUCUCUCAGAAAAUCAAAGUCCUCAACAUUUCGAUCACGUUUUACCUCAUAUUUUGAGAAAAUGUGGUGGGUUGCCACUAGCAAUCAUUAUGGUAGCCAGCCUUUUAGCAAGCCGACCUGAGAAACUAGAUCAACUGGGCUUUGUGCAGAGUUCUCUUGGUUCAAAUAUGCGGUUGCAGGCACAUCCUGCCAUGGAAAGGUUUAUGGAACAAUUAUUGAACAUUAGGUUCGAUUGUCUUCCACAUUAUUUGAAGACUUGCCUGCUUUAUCUUAGUACUUGUCCAGAGGGCUACAUAUUCUUGAAGGAUGAUUUGGUGAAGCAAUGGCUAGCUGAGGAUUUUAUAUGUGCACAAUUAGGGAAAGACAUGGAGGAAGUUGCUAGAAGCUAUUUUGAUGAGCUUGUCAGUAUGGGCCUGAUCCAAGUUAUGGAUAUCAACUACAGUUAUGAGCUAUUGUCUUAUUCAGUCCACCAUAUGGUUCUUGAUUUUAUCACAUGCAAGUCUAUUGAAGAGAACUUCAUCACUGUAGUGGAUUAUUCUCAAACAGCAAUGCUACUUCCUGAUAAAGUUCGCCGAUUGUCGCUCCAGUUUGGCAGUGCAACAUAUGCAACUACACCAGCAAGUACCAGAUUAUCACAAGUUCGAUCACUCUUCUUUUUUGGACUGUUUAACUGCAUGCCUUCAUUAAUGGUGUUUAAGUUUCUUCGAGUUCUAAACCUUCGUCUUGGGGGCGAUCUUGGAAAUAUGAGUUUGGACCUUACAAGAAUUAGUGAACUGUUUCGACUGAGAUAUUUGCAGGUCACAUGUAGUGCCAUUGUGAAGUUACCAGAUCAGAUUGAAGCUAUGAAACAUUUGGAAACACUGGAAAUAAAUUCAAGAGUAUGCGCCAUUCCUCCGGACAUUGUUCGCCUUCCGAGCUUGUUGCAUCUCUGUCUUCGAGGUGGAACAAAUCUACCUGACAGGAUUGGCCAUAUAAGAUCUCUACGUACACUAAAGUAUUUUGACCUUGGUGAUAACUCCGAAGACAAUUUAUGGAGCCUUGGCGAGCUGACAAACCUGCGGGAUCUACAUUUCACAUAUUCUAGAUUACCAUCUAGUGAACAUUUGAAGAGAAAUCUGAUAGCUCUGGCCUCUUCACUUGAGAAACUUUGUAACCUCAAAUCUGUCACUCUGGCUCCUGGUGCUGCAGGCAUGGUUGUUCUCUUUGAUGGCUCGAGCGGCAUGUCCUCUCCUCCAGUCUUCCUUGAGAGGCUUGAGCUGUUGCCGCCCAUAUGCAUCUUUUCCAGAUUUCCCAAGUGGAUUGGACAACUCCGCAAAAUCUGCAUUUUGAAAGUUGCUGUUAAAGAACUGCUGACGAAUGAUAUUGAUAUCCUCACAGGAUUACCCUCCCUCACAGUCCUCUCGUUGUGGGUCCAGACUGCCCCUGAGGGAGAAAUCAUCUUCAACGAAGGGGCGCUCCCAGUUCUCAAGUAUUUCGAGUUUAGGUGUGACGUACUUUGUCUGGCUUUCAUGGCAGGAGCAAUGCCCAAUCUUCGGAGGAUCAAGCUAGCUUUCAAUACUGAUAUCAGGGAGAAGUACAGCAAUAUGCUUGCCGGAAUCGAGCACCUUUUAAACCUCCAGGACGUCACUGGACAAAUUGGGGUAGUUACUGAAUCUGACAGAAGGGCUGCUGAAUCAGCAUUCAAGGAAGCCAUUAGCAAGCAUCCAAUGUCCUCUAGAUCUAGCAUACAAUGGGUGGAUCCAGUUGAGAAAGUAUUCCGUCCUUCAGAGAAACAGUAUUUGAGGCGAGGAAGAGGUUCAUCAGAUGAAACGCAUGGGGGUCUAGAGAAAGCCGAAGAUGCGAUCAAACAUGCUAAGAGAGGGUAUGAAUCUUCCUGA